UAGGGAAUCUUCGGCAAUGGACGAAAGUCUGUCCGAGCAACGCCGCGUGAGUGAAGAAGGUUUUCGGAUCGUAAAACUCUGUUGUUAGAGAAGAACAAGGACGUUAGUAACUGAACGUCCCCUGACGGUAUCUAACCAGAAAGCCACGGCUAACUACGUGCCAGCAGCCGCGGUAAUACGUAGGUGGCAAGCGUUGUCCGGAUUUAUUGGGCGUAAAGCGAGCGCAGGCGGUUUCUUAAGUCUGAUGUGAAAGCCCCCGGCUCAACCGGGGAGGGUCAUUGGAAACUGGGAGACUUGAGUGCAGAAGAGGAGAAUGGAAUUCCAUGUGUAGCGGUGAAAUGCGUAGAUAUAUGGAGGAACACCAGUGGCGAAGGCGGCUCUCUGGUCUGUAACUGACGCUGAGGCUCGAAAGCGUGGGGAGCAAACAGG
rnacentral:rRNA from 1 species